rnacentral:rRNA from 1 species
GUGUCAGCCGCCGCGGUAAUACGUAGGUGGCAAGCGUUAUCCGGAAUUACUGGGUGUAAAGGGUGUGUAGGCGGUAUUACAAGUCAGAUGUGAAAUUCAUGGGCUCAACCCGUGAACUGCAUUUGAAACUGUAGUUCUUGAGAGUCGGAGAGGUUAACGGAAUUCCCGGUGUAGCGGAGAAAUGCGUAGAUAUCGGGAGGACCACCAGUGGCGAAGGCGGUUAACUGGACGACAACUGACGCUGAGACACGAAAGCGUGGGGAGCAAACAGGAGUAGAUACCCUGGUAGUCCACGCUGUAAACGAUGAAUGCUAGGUGUAGGUGUGGAUACACAUCUGUGCCGGAGUAAACACAAUAAGCAUUCCACCUGGGGAGUACGGCCGCAAGGUUGAAACUCAAAUGAAUUGGCGG